AGGGAUAUAGUUCAGUGGCAGAGCAUGUGCUUAGCAUGCAUGAGGUCUUGGGUUCAAUCCCCGUUACCUCUG
rnacentral:tRNA from 1 species